GUUUAGUCAUACUCAGAAAGUAGAUGCGGCAGAGCUGUAGUUUGCGUGGGUUUGGUGCCUUCGAUAUGUCCAUUGUGUAUGCUAAAUAAUGUCUCGUUGGGUU